UACGUAGAGUGCGAGCGUUAAUCGGAAUUACUGGGCGUAAAGCGUGCGCAGGCGGUUAUAUAAGACAGUUGUGAAAUCCCCGGGCUCAACCUGGGAAUUGCAUCUGUGACUGUAUAGCUAGAGUACGGUAGAGGGGGAUGGAAUUCCGCGUGUAGCAGUGAAAUGCGUAGAUAUGCGGAGGAACACCGAUGGCGAAGGCAAUCCCCUGGACCUGUACUGACGCUCAUGCACGAAAGCGUGGGGAGCGAACAGG
rnacentral:rRNA from 1 species